rnacentral:tRNA from 1 species
GGGGGAGUAGCUCAAUUGGUAGAGCAACGCACUUUUAAUGCGUAGGUUCCGGGUUCGAGUCCCGGCUCCCUCA